UGAGGAAUAUUGGUCAAUGGGCGAGAGCCUGAACCAGCCAAGUAGCGUGCAGGAUGACGGCCCUAUGGGUUGUAAACUGCUUUUAUGCGGGGAUAAAGUGCGCGACGUGUCGUGCAUUGCAGGUACCGCAUGAAUAAGGACCGGCUAAUUCCGUGCCAGCAGCCGCGGUAAUACGGAAGGUCCGGGCGUUAUCCGGAUUUAUUGGGUUUAAAGGGAGCGUAGGCCGCCAGAUAAGCGUGUUGUGAAAUGUACCGGCUCAACCGGUGAAUUGCAGCGCGAACUGUUUGGCUUGAGUGCACGGUAAGCAGGCGGAAUUCAUGGUGUAGCGGUGAAAUGCUUAGAUAUCAUGAAGAACUCCGAUUGCGAAGGCAGCUUGCUGCAGUGCGACUGACGCUGAUGCUCGAAGGUGCGGGUAUCAAACAGG
rnacentral:rRNA from 3 species